UUUAGUCCGCGAUGGCUUCCUUCGCGCCCCACCGUCCUCUUCCGGAAGGCGGCUCCCUCCCUGCGCAGCCCGGAGCCCCUGGGAUCAGCCUCGAGCAGGCGCCCGAGCGAGACUAUCCCUAAACGAGAACGGCGGUGGCCGGACUUGUGAGUGAGGAAAAGAAGGAAAAGGCAGACUGGUCGCGAGGAGGAGAUCCAGGCCUCAGAGGAGAAAGGCCGGAGCCAGCCGAGCUGUCACGACCGGAGGGGGGACUCGCAGCCUUACCAGGCACUUAAGUAUUCAUCGAAGAGUCACCCCAGUAGCGGUGAUCACAGACAUGAAAAGAUGCGAGACGCCGCAGAUCCUUCACCACCAAAUAAAAUGUUGCGGAGAUCUGAUAGUCCUGAAAACAAAUACAGUGACAGCACAGGUCACAGUAAGGCCAAAAAUGUGCAUACUCACAGAGUUAGAGAGAGGGAUGGUGAAAUAAGAUGCUGAUGUGAGCAUCUAAAAAGUGGAUUCUAA
rnacentral:sRNA from 1 species